CUGGGGAUGAACAAGGAUUCACUCCGGCUCUGCCACCUGGCUGCUUAACUUCUCGAAGCCUGUCUCGUGUUCUGUCUCAAAAUCGGGAUGAUGCAUUCAUCACCCUGCAGAGGGCAUUCUGAGGAUCAGAGGUAUAGGUGAAGACUCCGGUCAGAUGAAGCCACACCCGGAGUAUCACUGAAAGAUGGAACACGGUGAACAUUUGAGACGUCACUGGGAGACCCCCAUCUUGGAAGUCUAGGUUAUGAUAUUUUUCACACCGCUGCUCAUCACAAACCUCUGAACUCUUCAAGUCUCCUUUUCUUCGGGCCCCUUGCCUGAAGAAACUCAUACUAGACCUGCCAGGUACUUCUAAGGUUAAUUAUGCAUAGGUUUCUCUAAACCAUCGAUGCUAAGCCUCUA
rnacentral:lncRNA from 1 species